GGGGACUAUGAAUGUUUGAGCUGCCUUGCUUACUAAACAUGUAUUGACUUAAUAGUCAAAAUUUUGCAUCGAGGCAUUUUUGAUAAACUGACGUUAGACUGCCACCCAAAAUAAGAUUAUUUAAAGCAGCUUUAGAUACACCUCAAUAAAUAUUUAAUAACGAGAAUGCUUAUAAUUGCAUAUAAAUUAAAUCCCAAGUGUUAAUUUUUCAACCAACUGCCUCACCACGUGCACAGGAUUGUUGCAUAUCAUCAUAUCAUUGGAUGUUAUAACGUUACCCUUUCUUGGAGAGUUUGACAAAUGCCCUGUCAUCUCCCGCUGCCUUUAUCUCCCAAUUACCCCUUUUCAAACCAGUUCACUUGGAAAAUGCACUCGGAUGGCGCGGGAUACUCGACUAGGGUUCCCAGACGAGGAAGAGACUGAUAUAUUUUGUAGAGCCAUGGCAGACCCCAUUUUCAAAGAAUGUUUCAUAAAACAGGGACACUGUGGCAAGUGAAUCUACGAGACUCUCGGUAAGAGCAUUGUGCACCUAAUUCAUACUGAUGGAUCCAGGUCAACACAUAAAAGGCGCAUGGCAGCUCUUUUUCCAACCUUAACUUAAAUCCUGGAUUGUUAAAAUGAUAACAUUAAAUUUUGAGAAGUAGCCCAUGGGCACAGUGUUUUGAUUUCUGUGUGAAAUAUUUUAA